UACAGAGGUCUCAAGCGUUGUUCGGAAUCACUGGGCGUAAAGGGUGCGUAGGCCGCACGGUAAGUCAGAGGUGAAAUCCCGGAGCUCAACUUCGGAAUUGCCUCCGAUACUGCCGUGCUUGAGGACUGGAGAGGAGAUUGGAAUUCACAGUGGAGCAGUGAAAUGCGUAGAUAUUGUGAGGAACACUAGUGGCGAAGGCGAAUCUCUGGACAGUUCCUGACGCUGAGGCACGAAGGCCAGGGGAGCAAACAGG
rnacentral:rRNA from 1 species